UGACCGUCCGCGCCCUGUGCGGAGCGCAGCGUUUUCUGUCGUCAGGUUCCCACCCCUCUCCGUGCCAACCAGGAUGCAGUUUUGCCUUUAUAUUUGAUCUAUUGAGACUGUUCGGGGCUGCGAGCUUGUUUAGGACAGGAGUCCACUCACAGUCACUGGCUAAUAAAUCUCCAAACACUCAA